CGACAGUAUAAAUGCCUCCUCAACCCGAAUCGUUCGAGAUGGAGACUGGAUCUAAAUAGAUUCUUUAUCCUGAACUCACG
rnacentral:ncRNA from 1 species